rnacentral:rRNA from 1 species
UUUGAAUGUAAGAAAAAUUUAUUUAAUUAUUAGUAGAUAUGGUCUUGAAAAUUAAAGAUUUUGGCGGUAUUUUAGUCUAUUUAGAGGAACUUGUCCUGUAAUCGAUAAUCCACGAUUUAAUAUACUUAUUUUAUUAAUUUAUAUAUCGUCGUGUUAGAAUAUUUUAAUAAAAUUUUAAUAUUCAAUAUUUUAGAUUAAAUUUUAAGUCAGAUCAAGAUAUAAUUUAUAAAUAAGAAGAGAUGAGUUACAAUAAAAUUAUUUAAAUGGAUAAAGGAUUUAAAAAUUAUUUGAAGGUGGAUUUGAUAGUAAUUUUAUUAAUUUAUUUAAUAUGAUUUAGCUCUAAAAUAUGC